ACACAUGCAAGUCGAACGAUGAAGCCCUUCGGGGUGGAUUAGUGGCGAACGGGUGAGUAACACGUGGGCAAUCUGCCCUUCACUCUGGGACAAGCCCUGGAAACGGGGUCUAAUACCGGAUAAUACUUUCUCCCGCAUGGGGGAAGGUUGAAAGCUCCGGCGGUGAAGGAUGAGCCCGCGGCCUAUCAGCUUGUUGGUGGGGUGAUGGCCUACCAAGGCGACGACGGGUAGCCGGCCUGAGAGGGCGACCGGCCACACUGGGACUGAGACACGGCCCAGACUCCUACGGGAGGCAGCAGUGGGGAAUAUUGCACAAUGGGCGAAAGCCUGAUGCAGCGACGCCGCGUGAGGGAUGACGGCCUUCGGGUUGUAAACCUCUUUCAGCAGGGAAGAAGCGAAAGUGACGGUACCUGCAGAAGAAGCGCCGGCUAACUACGUGCCAGCAGCCGCGGUAAUACGUAGGGCGCAAGCGUUGUCCGGAAUUAUUGGGCGUAAAGAGCUCGUAGGCGGCUUGUCACGUCGGAUGUGAAAGCCCGGGGCUUAACCCCGGGUCUGCAUUCGAUACGGGCAGGCUAGAGUGUGGUAGGGGAGAUCGGAAUUCCUGGUGUAGCGGUGAAAUGCGCAGAUAUCAGGAGGAACACCGGUGGCGAAGGCGGAUCUCUGGGCCAUUACUGACGCUGAGGAGCGAAAGCGUGGGGAG
rnacentral:rRNA from 1 species